GCCUGGGUGGCUCAGUCAGUUGAGCGUCUGGUUUCAGCUCAGGUCCUGAUUUCAUGGUUCGUGGGGUCAAGCCCCGCAUCGGGCU
rnacentral:tRNA from 1 species